rnacentral:lncRNA from 1 species
AGCCCAGAAGGUCGGCUCGGGCCUCAUCCCCUUGGAAGGCUAAACAAACUGUCCAAAAUUCCGAGAGGAAGUGGCAGUGGCAGUAGCAUUGGCAGUCAUUGAGUCAGUCCACAGUCCAGCCACUGUUUGUGCCCAAUUCGCAUGUACAUGGAGCGAGGAGUGAACGAGUAUCGUGCCUGCCUCCGCCGCAUUCAUCCAUCCAUCCAUCCAUCCAUCCAUCCAUCGACUGCCAAGUCAGCGGCUAUCCCGUGCACCUGAGUGGCAAAACGAACAAACGAACAAGCGAAUCCUUUGGCCUGCCAUUCCGUACGUACUCCUUCGCCUUUGAGCGGAUGCGCAAACAAAUCUGACGUGCCAGCAGCCAAGAGCAGGCGUGUGGGGAGCGACAUGCACCAUAGACAUGGACUCCAUCCAGUUACGUGGAAGGCAACAAAAGGCGGAACAUUCAUGUGCGGUUUUCCCAAACUGACAGAUUUUUAUAUAUUCGCCUGUCUUUCGGGUGCGACGCUUGCCAUUUGUUUUCCUCUGCAACAGUCGAGGAAGGAGAACCCACCCAACCAGUAACCAGUCUCUGAAGAAGGCAAAGAUGGAACGAACUCUGAUUGAGCAAUAUGAAAUGUUGAGCGGGUUGCAUUGGGGACCUGCACUUGAAGAGAUGCACGAAUAUCAGCCAUGAAUGUUGCAUUGUAAUUGGCAGAUGGUAGCUGGAGAGGAAAGGAUGCU